AUGGGAAAGGUAUGUCAGCCUUUUGAAGAAGAGGACUGUUGGGUUUUGGCGGUUGUAAUCAUGAUAGAGUGAACCAUGUAGAUAACCUGUUUCUCUUAAUGCUACUAUGGAAAACAAUAAUCAUACCUUGUGUUCUGAUUAUUCCAUGACCACUCGUGCCUUAAUGAUCCUGUUGAUCUGCAAAAAACAACACAUAAUUAUACCACCUUGCUUUAAAAUCUUGGAAUUAGGAUACACAACUAAAUGUGUAAGACUGAAUUAAUCAACACUUACUAAGGCAUAGCAUAUUCUAGUGAAUCAUUGAGGGAGAUUUAUACAAUUUUAAUCAUCCCCAAUGCUAACCUAUUUUUUUCAAA
rnacentral:lncRNA from 1 species